UGCAGAGAGCAGGUGGAAGCCAGCUUGUCCCAGUUAUCAAAGCCCCCAGCUAAGCGCCUACCAGGCCGGCUGCGAGCCCCUUACAACAGCAGGUGGUGGGCGCCUCUUAGGGGGAUUCUUUCUCUCCUCCCAAAGGUCGCCCGUCCCCAUUUGGCAGGUCAAAAGAGGCGACAUUAGUCCAAGGUUAAACAUUUUAGGACUCCAAUUUAGGGGAUCCCAGCGUGGUUCUCCCUAUCUAACCGUUUGAGCGCCAGACCCAUUUUAGACUCAUCCAACCUUAUCUUGCCAUCCCCUGAAUCGCCUCCUCCACAAAGCAGGGACUCUCCCUCCGCCCAUGGUCUCUGAAAUUAAUGGGAUGAAAUGACUCUAAUUGGGAAACGUAACAUCUUUGUUGAGAGUCAUCCACGGAGCCCAGGCUGGUCUCAAACUCACUUGGUAGCGGAGGAGGACCUUGAUCUGACCUGUUCCCCCCACCUCCUGAGUGCUGGGGCUCCGAGCAUGGGCCUUUGCGCCUGGCUUCAUAUCUGUCUCAUCGCGCAUCAGGCUUCAUUACAGUCUUUUCAGAAUUUAGUUUGUGCAUGCUCUCAUGCUGAAGCCCAGGCUCACCUGAAACAUACUAUGUAGCCCAUGCUGGCUUCAAACUUCCCGUGAACCGUCAUGCCUGGCUUCAGGUCUUAGUUUAAAGAGUGCUAGGUUCUUAAAGACAGGGGCUUGAAUGCGCUUGUCUGUCAAUCUUCCUGAGGACCUAGACGAGGACAUAGUUGACAUUUAAAAUAAGACUAAAUUGGGGCCAGGUGGUGGUGGUGGUGG